AAGUUCCAGCUCUGCAGCGUUGUAAAUGAGCAAUUUCUCGCUGUUAAAGAGGAUAUCGGGAAGUUAAAAUCAUUUGUCUGUAAAAAGUUGGAUCAAAUGGAACAAACUCAACUUGCCCAUAAUAAAGCUGUAAUGACUGCUCUGGCGGAACAGAAAAUCGUCACGCAAAAGCUAAUUCGCCAGGAGUCAUUUUGAGCGCCAAUCGCAGAGCUUUUCCCACUUUCAAGUAAAGAAAGUCUA